rnacentral:rRNA from 1 species
CAAACUGGAGAUGGCGACCGGCGCACGGGUGAGUAACACGUAUCCAACCUGCCGAUAACUCGGGGAUAGCCUUUCGAAAGGAAGAUUAAUACCCGAUGGUAUAAUAAAACCGCAUGGUUUAAUUAUUAAAGAAUUUCGGUUAUCGAUGGGGAUGCGUUCCAUUAGGCAGUUGGUGAGGUAACGGCUCACCAAACCUUCGAUGGAUAGGGGUUCUGAGAGGAAGGUCCCCCACAUUGGAACUGAGACACGGUCCAA